UACGAAGGGGCUAGCGUUGCUCGGAAUCACUGGGCGUAAAGCGCACGUAGGCGGAUUGUUAAGUCAGGGGUGAAAUCCUGGAGCUCAACUCCAGAACUGCCUUGAUACUGGCGAUCUCGAGUCCGGGAGAGGUGAGUGGAACUGCGAGUGUAGAGGUGAAAUUCGUAGAUAUUCGCAAGAACACCAGUGGCGAAGGCGGCUCACUGGCCCGGUACUGACGCU
rnacentral:rRNA from 1 species